CUCUGUGACUCCUACGGGAGGCAGCAGUGGGAAUAUUGGACAAUGGACCAAAAGUCUGAUCCAGCAAUUCUGUGUGUUUGAUGAAGGCCUUCGGGUUGUAAAGAACUUUCAGUGGGGAAGAAGCAAGUGACGGUACCCACAGAAGAAGCGACGGCUAAAUACGUGCCAGCAGCCGCGGUAAUACGUAUGUCGCAAGCGUUAUCCGGAAUUAUUGGGCAUAAAGGGCGUCUAGGCGGUCUAAUAAGUCUGAUGUGAAAAUGCGGGCUCAACUCCGUAUUGCGUUGGAAACUGUUAGACUAGAGUUUUGGAGAGGUAGGCGGAACUACAAGUGUAGAGGUGAAAUUCGUAGAGAUUUGUAGGAAUGCCGAUGACGAAGGUAGCUUACUGGACAAAUACUGACGCUGAAGCGCGAAAGCUAGGGGAGCAAACAGGAUUAGAUACCCUGGGAG
rnacentral:rRNA from 1 species